AUUGAACGCUGGCGGCAGGCCUAACACAUGCAAGUCGAGCGGAUGAAGGGAGCUUGCUCCUGGAUUCAGCGGCGGACGGGUGAGUAAUGCCUAGGAAUCUGCCUGGUAGUGGGGGAUAACGUCCGGAAACGGGCGCUAAUACCGCAUACGUCCUGAGGGAGAAAGUGGGGGAUCUUCGGACCUCAUGCUAUCAGAUGAGCCUAGGUCGGAUUAGCUAGUUGGUGGGGUAAAGGCCUACCAAGGCGACGAUCCGUAGCUGGUCUGAGAGGAUGAUCAGUCACACUGGAACUGAGACACGGUCCAGACUCCUACGGGAGGCAGCAGUGGGGAAUAUUGGACAAUGGGAGAAAGCCUGAUCCAGCCAUGCCGCGUGUGUGAAGAAGGUCUUCGGAUUGUAAAGCACUUUAAGUUGGGAGGAAGGGCAGUAAGUUAAUACCUUGCUGUUUUGACGUUACCAACAGAAUAAGCACCGGCUAACUUCGUG
rnacentral:rRNA from 1 species